rnacentral:rRNA from 1 species
UACGUAGGGUCCGAGCGUUGUCCGGAAUUAUUGGGCGUAAAGGGCUCGUAGGCGGUUCGUCACGUCGGGGAGUGAAAACUCGGGGCUUAACCCCGAGCCUGCUUCCGAUACGGGCAGACUAGAGGUAGGCAGGGGAGAGCGGAACUCCUGGUGUAGCGGUGGAAUGCGCAGAUAUCAGGAAGAACACCUGAGGUGAAGACGGGUUGCUGGGCUGACACUGACGCUGAUGCGCGAAAGCCAGGGGAGCAAACGGG